AGAGCUCAAUAUAUAGCACUGAGCAAGAGUGGAGUCAUCAAUGUACUUCACGUAGCGAGUGAUCUCAUCCUCGCUUGCCCCUUCUUCGGGCGUAGGUGUCACGCCCCUCAAAAUAUCCAUGAUUUUUAAAAUUUUCAUCACGGAUCAAUCCAGGAUCCAAACUAACGUUUGAGGACACUGAAAAACAUUCUAUUCAAAUUCACAUCUAUAGAACCUGUGCAUUUUAAAAUCAUAUAUCACAUCACUCGAUAAUUCACAUUUAUGGCAACCCAAGCCAACUUGACAAACAUGAACAACAUUUAUAAAUCCACAAGCUAAUUAAAUUAUACAAUCAGAACUCCAACUAUUCACCACAAGUUCAUAUCGUCAUAAAUUAGACUUAACAUUCCGAAAUUCCAAAUAAGAGAGAUCUUCUAACACUUUUACACAGUAUAUCCAUUUCGAUUCAUCGACAACAUUUCAUUACAUACAAAACAUACUUACAACAAUAUCAUAAUAACCACCCAGACUUGCCCAUAAUUCUGAAUAGCUAUCCACUGCCUCAGCCCAAAUCAACAUCUCGAAGAGUGACAAGCUGACCUGAAAGAUUUAUAUAACAACGGAGUGAGCCAAAAAUGGCUCAGCAAGUGACAAAGCAUAUUCAGAACAAAAGGAACGGUUUCAAACGAGUAAGGUAUCAUAAUGCAAGGCAGAAUACAAGAAUUCUUAAGGAUACCAUCUCAAUAGAUACCAAAUCAUACGUAUCAUGUCAUUCAAAACAUAUUUGAUCCAUAACGAAUGGAGCAUAGAGUAAUUGGAACAUAUCAAUGGCAGAUAGGACAUUUCAGAACAUAUCAGUUCAUAGCAAAUGAAGCACAGAGUAAUUGGAGCAUAUCAGUAACAAAGGAAACAUAUCGGAGCUUAUCAAUGGCAGAUAGGACAUUUCAGAACAUAUCAGUUCAUAGCAAAUGGAGCAUAGAGUNNNNNNN
rnacentral:lncRNA from 1 species